CCUACGGGUGGCAGCAGUGAGGAAUAUUGGUCAAUGGACGAGAGUCUGAACCAGCCAAGUAGCGUGAAGGAUGACUGCCCUAUGGGUUGUAAACUUCUUUUAUAUGGGAAUAAAAUGUUCCACGUGUGGGAUUUUGUAUGUACCAUAUGAAUAAGGAUCGGCUAACUCCGUGCCAGCAGCCGCGGUAAUACGGAGGAUCCGAGCGUUAUCCGGAUUUAUUGGGUUUAAAGGGAGCGUAGGUGGAUUGUUAAGUCAGUUGUGAAAGUUUGCGGCUCAACCGUAAAAUUGCAGUUGAAAAUGGCAGUCUUGAGUACAGUAGAGGUGGGCGGAAUUCGUGGUGUAGCGGUGAAAUGCUGAGAUAUAACGAAGAACUCCGAUUGCGAAGGCAGUUCACUGGACUGCAACUGACACUGAGGCUCGAAAGUGUGGGUAUCAAACAGGAUUAGAUACCCCGGUAGUC
rnacentral:rRNA from 1 species